CCUACGGGUGGCAGCAGUCGAGAAUCAUUCACAAUGGGGGAAACCCUGAUGGUGCGACGCCGCGUGGAGGAAUGAAGGUCUUCGGGUUGUAAACCCCUGUCAUGUGGGAGCAAAUUAAAAAGAUAGUACCACAAGAGGAAGAUACGGCUAACUCUGUGCCAGCAGCCGCGGGAAUACAGAGGUCUCAAGCGUUGUUCGGAAUCACUGGGCGUAAAGCGUGCGUAGGCUGUUUCGUAAGUCGUGUGUGAAAGGCGCGGGCUCAACCCCCGAACGGCACAUGAUACUGCGAGACUAGAGUAAUGGAGGGGGAAGCGGAAUUCUCGGUGUAGCAGUGAAAUGCGUAGAUAUCGAGAGGAACACUCGUGGCGAAGGCGGGUUCCUGGACAUUAACUGACGCUGAGGCACGAAGGCCAGGGGAGCGAAAGGGAUUAGAUACCCCUGUAGUC
rnacentral:rRNA from 1 species